rnacentral:lncRNA from 1 species
GCAGCACAUAACUCAUCGAACAGUGCAAUAUACUUAAAAUAUAUACUGAAUCACAAAUAUUUAGUAAAAUAGCGAUAAAUAUUAGUUGAAUAAUAGAAUAAUUGAGGAAUCAAAGUAAUAAUCAAUUACAUUAAAAAGCAAAAGAAAAGCACACAGCUUAAAUUAAAAAAUUCUCAUUUGCGAUUCUAGAUAAUGUUAAAAUCACCCUAGCAAAGUUGUCUUUCUGCAUCAAAGAAAAACAAUCAAUAUUAGUUGUGACACCCAAAUCCAUUUUAAUUUUAAAUGAAAACGCACGCGGAAAAACUAUGAAUAUAAAUAAAUAUUUAAUGAGAAAAUCAGGAAAUAAAUUUUUAUUUAAACAUACUUUACUCAAAAUAACAUUUUUAGGUAAUGCUAAAUUCAAAAUAUUUGACUCGCCAUUCGACCUUCCACGCGCCUCCGGCCUUUAAAACCUGAAAAUGUUAAGUAUGGGAUGAGCAUACAUGGUACACUCAGUGUGGGAACAUGCAAUCAUUGUCCACGUUAAUAAAAUGAGAAUCACAUAUGAUCAAUACAUUCGUGACUGAAAGUCGCACGGUGGCAUACCAAGGACCUUUCCGUCCUGGACCGAUUGGGCCGGCCCCUGGCGACUGGUUGCAACCAUAACUGUAACAUAAAAUCGCAUUGUGGCAUACCAAGGACGGUGAAGUCCUGGACCCAUUGAGCGGGCCCCUAGCGAUAUAACUGAAUUUAAUGCAACUCACAUAUGGUAAACACAUAAUAUUAAAAUGGACAAGAAUUAACCACAGCAUGUACUGAAAUAAAUCCCACACCUGGACUUUGAACUUGAACUUCAACUUGAAUGCUAACUUGAGUAAAUCAAAUAAAAGUAACGUCCUAGUCGCGCCGCACCUAGUCAGAUAAAUUCAAAUAAUAAAAUAUAAGGGCCUAAUUGAACUUUAGAAAAAUAAUAUGAACUUUGAGAAUUUUAUAUAAGACCAUUAAAAUCAUUGAUUUAAUAAUUUAAAUAAUAAGAUAUAAUUUCUUAUGAAAAUUUUGAUUAGUAAAAUAAUUUAAGGAUAAAUCCAACUUAAUUAAAAGAAAUAUGCAGCUCAAAAUAAUUAAAAUUAAGCCCAAUUACUUAAGUGAAAUUGAGCCCAUGAGGUAAUUAAAAUUAAACCCAACUAUUUAAAUAAAAUUAAGCUCCAGUUUAAAGCCCAUUUCUCAGCCCAUCAUUUAACCCUAACUUAAACUCACCAACACACACCAACACACAAACUCACGCAGCCUCACUCCCUCUCUUCUUCUCUCCCUCUCGGUGCCCUGCCGCCGCGCCGUCGUCGAAGGCCGGCGGCUCCUACCUCCUCACUCUCCUUCCCUAUCUUCCUAUCUCCCUUCAUCCUCCCCUGCCCCUGUCCUCGCCGUCCCAGCCACCUCCUCCUUCGACCGGAACAGCACAGCAGAGCCGAGACCGCGCCGCCGCCCCUGUCUCCUCCCUACGGCCGCCGUGGCGCACAGCGCCGGCGGCGCUGUUCUUCAGCCAUCCCCCUCUCUCUGCUUCCCCUCAGCCUAACAGCCAUCGGGAAAGCCGAUGCUGCGGCGCCUCCUCUGCCCCCUCCUCUAUCUUCGACCAGCCGUUGCCGCCACCGCCACCGACAGCAGUGAAGGGUUGUAUACUGAAAGCAAGACUUUAUGCUUGUAUACAUUGAUUCCUUAGUUCACUGUGAUUCUUCUAUCUGAAAUAUUGUUAUUGCAUAAUCCUAUUAUAGUCCAAUUUAUCUCAUACUAUAGAUUAUAUGGUGUGUUGUAGAUCACAGAAGAUCAUAUAAUUGGAAAACGUUGAGAUAUAAAUUGAGUUCACAAUCGAGGCAACUAUGGACGAGUUGCUGGUUUAGAUUGUAGCAUAAAUGGAUAAAUAGUUUGUCUUGGCUAUUUAUUUAUGCUAGUACCUUCGUGUAUUGAACAGGAUCACAGUGAGAUGAAUUCUUAUAUUCUGACUAAUUAAGAAUCAAGAUCUCGGCGACUUAAAUAGUCUUAACCUUAGUUGGAUUAAUCGGUGUGAAUAAUAUAUUGACUAUUGCUUUGAUUUAUCAUGGGUGAGAGUUCUCUUGAAGCUCAAUAUACUCGAUACUUUGGGUGAUAGCAAUUAUUAUUUGACAUGCGAUUAUAUUGCAAUAAGGAUCCGUGUCCUGCUAAUAACAGGAUGAUAAUAUCCUCUCGAGGAACUUAAUAAGUUUAUCGUAUUAAACCCUGCAGGUGGAAUUAGUUCCGAUACGAUAAUAAGUUUAAGUGGUAGCACUCGAGAUGUCGUUUAUAAUUAAACGACUAAUUAAUUAAUUAAUUGAUCGUCAGAGGAAUUAAUUAAUUAAUGGAUAUUGGAUAUCUUAAACACGGGGAUUAAUUAAGUCUAAUACUAGCCCCGACUCACCUAAAGAAUAAAGAGGUAAUUCAGUAUUAAUUUUCUAGUGGAAUAAAUUAAUACUUGUGUCUCGAUUUUAUUCUGGGCUGAAUAGGAAAAUCGAGCACUGGGAGGCCAAACUUUAUUCAAGCUAGUAGAUCCCCGCUUGGCCCAAUAAAGGCUUCACUCCAUAUGGGGCGUUCGUCCAUCUAUUUCUCACUUAAGCCUUUGGGCUUUGUUUAGUUUAAUUAGAUGAUGGGCUUAUUAUUUAGGGUUUUAAUGCCCAGUAUAAAUAAUAGGUACAGCCCUAAUUCUAAUUUACUUGUGACAUUACGUGAGGUAAAAUAGAGAGAAAUCUGUGAGAACACAGAAACUGAGGCGGCGCGUUUCCCCAGGAAAAGGAGAGGACUUGAAGAUCGUUGCCACCCAACGUCAAGUCUUGCCGUGGGAACAAGUUGGAAGAUCAACACUGGAGUCGAUCAUUGCCGGAUUUGCAAGUAAGAUUUCAUCCUCUUGCUUUAGGCACAUGGUUUUUGUAUGUAUUCGUUUGAUAUCCGAAAUGGGUCACGGGCACGUGAAUCAUAUAUCAAAAUAUGGUUCCUUCAAGCAGCAGUUGGCAGGUCGCCGCCUCCUACCCUCUUUCCUGCUCGACAACAGCUGUUCCCCCAAAAUUCUCCCAUCUCCACUCUACCUCUAUGUCUCUAAUUUCAUUUUAUUCUUUCUUUUUCUCAUGAAUUAAAUGAAUGAUUUAGGAAAAUUGUUGGAUUAGAAGCAUGUGUAUGCUGAAUUUGAUUCAACAAUAAAAAUUACUCAGUGUUUCUGCACAACACAAAAGAGGAGAAAUAGAGUUGCUGUGAUGAUUUAAAAUCACAGAAAAUAAAUUUACCAACUGAAGCUCUAUAGAAGGAGAUGAUCGAAGAGAUGUGCUGAGCAAGUUUGAGGUCUCACAGGAAGGUGAAAAAUGAUAGAGGCUGAUGAAUCUGAUGGCUAUAUACAUAGCCGUGAAUGAAUACAAAAGUAUGGCGGUUAAGGUGUAGAAGAUAAUGAUCGAAGAAGUAGAUAAGUGAAUUGAUUUUGAAAGAUAAACAUGAAAUAAAUGAUAAAAAUUAGUGAAGAGAUAAAAAUGGAACGAAUGUGGCUGCACAAAAUUGAGGAAAAUUUGAAUGGCUGAAGAGGAAAACUUGACUGCCAAGAAUUAAGAUUUGUGGCUGAAAAUGGAAACAAAUUGUGGCUUAAAAUAAAAAACACGUUAUUGCUGUUCGAAGAAGGAAAUUGCUAAAAAUUAUGGGCUCUAAUUCAAACCAAGCCCAAUGAAACAUAAAUAAAUACAUAAGGCCCAUUAUAGAGAUUAUUGCUAAUAUAUUUUUAUGGCCCAAUC